AUCGCUUCUUGGACUUUUGACUAAGAUCAAGUAUAGUAUCUGUUUUUAUCAGUUUAAUAGCUGAUACAUCCUCUCUCCAAGGACAAUAUAUUAAGUGGAUUUUUGAAGCUAGGAGUUGGAAUGGGAGCUUGUUCUGUCCACUCCACACAUUGACUUGGUAUUGCAGGACCUCCAGGAAUGGUGUAAAAUAA
ensembl:snRNA U2 U2 spliceosomal RNA